rnacentral:rRNA from 1 species
AACGAACGCUGGCGGCAUGCCUAACACAAGCAAGUCGAACGAUGCCUUCGGGCAUAGUGGCGCACGGGUGCGUAACGCGUGGGAAUCUGCCUUUCGGUUCGGAAUAACUCAGGGAAACUUGAGCUAAUACCGGAUAACGUCGCAAGACCAAAGAUUUAUCACCGAAAGAUGAGCCCGCGUAGGAUUAGCUAGUUGGUGAGGUAAAGGCUCACCAAGGCGACGAUCCUUAGCUGGUCUGAGAGGAUGAUCAGCCACACUGGGACUGAGACACGGCCCAGACUCCUACGGGAGGCAGCAGUGGGGAAUAUUGGACAAUGGGCGAAAGCCUGAUCCAGCAAUGCCGCGUGAGUGAUGAAGGCCUUAGGGUUGUAAAGCUCUUUUACCCGGGAAGAUAAUGACGGUACCGGGAGAAUAAGCCCCGGCUAACUCCGUG